AAAUUCCGAAAAUAUAAGAACAUUGAUAAACCGGUAUUAUGCUGAAAAAUUCUUAGGAAUCCGUACAGGAGUUUAUUGAUAAGCAGGGUGACAGGCAAUUGUUAUCCCAAAUUUCCUAAUGAAGCAAAUUUGAAACCUGAUAUAGAAAACACCAGUGGGGCAACAUACCAUUGACUUUGUGGAUCAACUACAUAGGAUCUACCUUGAGUAUGGAUGGGGAAAUCCAAGAAUACCACAAUGUGACCAAGGCUCUGAGUUUAAGUUGUUCACCAUACCAUCCCAUGUUGGGUUGCCCACCAGUCCAGAUCAACAGUUUGUUGAGGAAAAGCUUGGAAUUCAGUUGAUGCCUAUUCUUGCUGUGAAGAGGAGCAAUCUGAACUGAAGGGGAGAACAGACUCCAAACAAGAGUAGAUGUGAUGACACCAAGAAAGAGCAGCCACAUAUUACCUCGAGAGGUUAACCAGAAUGCAAAUCAACAGAAUAUGAUGCUGACCAAGUACCAGGAAGAGGUGUCCCCAUCACUGUAGAUGACAAGUGAUGACAGUUAUCUUGAUGGACUACAGGAAUAAUUCAAGUGCAUUCAUUAUGCAGUUUACUGAUUUGUAUGAUGUAUUUUGAUAAUUGUUUUGGCAUUCUGAUGUCAGCUGAGUAACACCUCCAUAAUGGAGACAAAUUAAGGAACUUCUGUUUUGAAGCAGUAAAAUAGUCUCAGCAAUAAUUUUUAUUUAUUUUGCCAGCAGAACAGAAGUUUCCAUUAAUUUUCCCACACAAACAUUUUGUGCUUUUCUGUCCCCCAUUUGUGCUUAUUGUCCUGCUGAACAAUUGGACCACCUUUCCAGUGACAUUUUUUUUACACUGCAUGACAAUGUGAUUUAGAAGUAUGAUUUGAUAUAGUUUGAUGGUUUGAUAUUAGUAUAUGUGGCAUGUAGUAAACAAUGGAAUAGUAAAGUUAUACCAUAUUUCUUGUAUUUCAUGAUACUGGCUGUUAUAUUACUUUUGUGAUAGUUAGUAUUUAAUUAAGGCUUUACAUACUGGCAACUAAGUCUCUGCAUGUCUGCCAUGGAAGGCAUGUAAAACUGUUGCCCUUUGCCAGAAUGAAGAAAGUUUUAUAUGUGUAAUUUAUGAUAUGUGAAUAAUGUCUUACAUGUGAUGUUACAUCUAACUAUUUAAUGUGUAUGCUGUUAGUCUUAGAAAAAAGAAAAUUUCCCCAUCUUGAAAUAUUCAGCUUUGUCAGUUUUUGUUGCUCCAGAUUUUGCCAUAUUUUGUUUCUGGAGGACAUUUUGUUAAAUGUAGUUACGUAUCAUGGGUUCAUACCAAAUCAUUUGAUAAAGGUAAUAAUUUAUAAACAAGAUG
rnacentral:lncRNA from 1 species